rfam:Gossypium raimondii Chr04_contig_561, whole genome shotgun sequence.
AUUCCAUAAUGAGGGCACUUUCAAAAUAACUCUUUUUACCCUUCCCAUGCCUCAUACAGGGACACACCAUCCAUUUGUUGGAAGGCAAUGAUCUCAUUCCUCAACUU